GCCGGAGUGGUGGAACUGGCAGACACACAGGACUUAAAAUCCUGAGCGGGUCUCCCGCGUGCGGGUUCAAGUCCCGCCUCCGGCA
rnacentral:tRNA from 1 species